UAGUGAAGACAUCAAAACUAUGAAAUAACACAUGGAAUCAUGUAGUAACCAAAAAAGUGUUAAACAAUUCAAAAUAUAUUUUAUAUUUGAGAUUCUUCAAAGUAGCCACCCUUUGCCUUGAUGACAGCUUUGCACACUCUUGUCAUUCUCUCAAUCAGUUUCAUGAGGAAUGCUUUUCGAACAAUCUUGAAAGUGUUCCCACAUAUGCUGAGCAGUUGUUGGCUGCUUUUUCUUCACUCUGCUGUCCAACUCAUCCCAAACCAUCUUAAUUGGGUUGAGGUCGGAUGAUUGUGAAGGCCAGGUCAUCUGAUGCAGCACUCCAUCACUCUCCUUCUUGGUCAAGUAGCCCUUACACAGCAUGAGGUGUGUUUGGGGUCAUUGUCCUGUUGAAAAACAAAUGAUAGUCCCACGAAGUGCAAACCAGAUGGGAUGGCGUAUCGAUGCAGGAUGCUGUGGUAGCCAUGCUGGUUAAGUGUGCCUUGAAUUCUAAAUAAAUCACUGACAGUGUCACCAGCAAAGCACCCCCACACCAUCACACCACCACCUCCAUGCUUCACGGUGGGAACCACACAUGCAGAGCUCAUCCGUUCACCUACUCUGCGUCUCACAAAGACACGGCGGUUAGAUCCAAAAAUCUCAAAUUUGGACUCCUCAGACCAAAUGACACAUUUCCACCGGUCUAAUGUCCAUUGCUCAUGUUUCUUGGCCCAAGCAAGUCUCUUCUUCUUAUUGGUGUCCUAUAGUAGUGCUUUCUUUGCAGCAAUUUGACCAUGAAGGCCUGAUUCACGCAGUUUCCUCUGAACAGUUGAUGUUGAGAUGUGUCUCUUACUUGAACUCUGUAGCAUUUAUUUGGGCUGCAAUCUGAGGCUGGUAACUCUAAUGAACUCAUCCUCUGCAGCAGAGGUACCACUGGGUCUUCCUGUGACGGUCCUCAUGAGAGCCAGUUUCAUCGUAGCGCUUGAUGGUUUUUGUGACCGCACUUGAAGAAACUUAAAAAGUUAUUGAAAUUUUCCUUUUUGACUGACCUUCAUGUCUUAUAAUGAUGGACUGUUGUUUCUCUUUGCUUAUUUGAGUUGUUCCUGCCGUAAUAUGGACUUGGUAUUUUACCAAAUAGGGCCAUCUUCUGUAUACCACUCCUACCUUGUCAAAACACCACUGAUUGGCUCAAAUUCCACAAAUGAACUUUAAACAAGUAACACUUAUUAAUUGAAAUGCAUUCCAGGUGACUCCCUCAUGAAGCUGGUUGAGAGAAUGCCAAGAGUGUGCAAAGCUGUCAUCAAGGCAAAGGGGGGCUACUUUGGACAAUGUCAAAUAUAACAUAUAUUUUGAUUAACAGAAAUGUUUGGUUACUACGGUAUUGCAUGUGUUAUUUAAUAGUUUAGAUGUCUUCACUAUUAUUCUACAGUUUAGAAAAAAGUAAAAAAACAAAAAAAUAAAAAAUCUGAAAUGAGUAGGUGUGUUCAAACUUUUGACUGGUUUUGUAUAUAGUAUAUAUGGAAUAUUGUUUUGUUUUUAAUAUCAAUAUUUUAUAUAUAAUAUAUACAAUAUUUAUGUUCUUGUAAAUAGUUGAUGUUUAAUGUUUUCAUCUGAGGCUUUCCUGUAAGAUAUUAUUUUUCUUAUUUUAUUCUUAAUGUUUCUAACCCUGGAAAUGACACUAAUAGAUGCUCUGUGUCUUAGACCGUCACACCGUCACAUACUUCUCUGUCCAACCCUCUGGAGAACCCAGUUCUCCUCGGCAUCAAAGGGCAGCCCACCAUUUUAGAAAAAUCAUGGCAUCUUUCAAAUGCUGUUCUUCGGUCAGUGGAAGAGUUUGGGUGGCAAUUCUGCUCCAACUGAAACUCCUUGGUUUCCUGUCUGUUGUAUUUUUGGUCAGAUGGAACUAUGGUCUAGACGUCAUGUUAUCUGUUGUUGAACAUUGAUGUGACUAUAUUAAUUUCUCUUAUCUAUGGUUGAUCAUUAGCCAUCUAUUUGAUUGGUUGGUAUUAUCAGUGGGACUAGAGAUGUGAUGUCUGCUUUCUUGGACAGACCGCUCGUCUUGUCCUGUGAUGAUUGUGCUUCAUUGUCGUCUUCUAUUGGAAGGGGCGUUUGUAGGGUUAUAGGUCAGAGGAGACUCAUCUAUUUGAUCUAUAACCGGCCUGAGCUGACUGGAGAUUGGGGCAGAAGCCUAUAUAGGUGGAUGUAUGACAAGAGCCCGUAGCGUCAGUACUUGAGAGAGAGAUCCCCCUGCAGUACUUUGUAUUUGUAUUCUACCUUUUAUUUAACUAGGCAAGUCAGUUAAGAACAAAUUCUUAUUUACAAUGACGGUCUAGGAACAGUGGGUUUAAAUGCCUUGUUCAGGGGCAGAACGACAGAUUUUCACCUUGUCAGCUCGGGGAUUCCAUCUUGCAACUUUUCGGUUACUAGUCCAACACUCUAACCACAAGGCUACCCUGCCGACCCGUGAGUGGCUACCUGGCAUCAUCUUUACUCUUUCACAGCCCUGUGUCCUCAUACGUCUAGGGUUGUUCUGACCCUACCAUCACCCUUCACCCCCCCCCACAUAACAACAGAAAGUUCUGACAGCCUAUUGGCUGUACUGUUCGCUGACACAGGAAGGAGGUCACAAUCAGGUUGCUGGUGGAAUUUUCCAUGUUACUGUGGUUGAGUGCUUUUGAUCGGAACGUUCUGGAAAGUUCCUAUUGCAUUCCGAGACUACAGCAGGCGGCAGAGAGAGAAGAGCAGUUAGAUGGUGUAUGUGUUGGGGUUAGUGGAGCGACGCUGGGGUGGUGGUGAGGGGGGCUGUGACUAUUAAUCCUAUUACAUCCCCUCUAUCACACGUAGUGUUUGAGUCAGGAAAUGCUGUACCCCCCCCCGACAUUCCGCUAUCGACGAUGUGGUCCGUGGCGUUCUAUUAGGCCUCGCCGUGUGCACAUUUAUUCACAACCCGUCCUCCCCCCCUCCCACCGUAAAUGUAAAAGAUAAUGAACUCAAAAUCCCUUUACCUGUCUCUUUAGAGGACAUCACACCACAGCUUCCAUUUUGUGACCUUUCGCUCCAAUAUCUAAAGAUGGGUCAUGAAGUUGUUAACUUCUGUCCGGGGACAGUCAUAUUGCUAUGUUCCAUACAGACAUCACAACAUUCCUGUCAGCUUUUCCCAGCACAAGACUAAGUCCUGAUUUAAAAACAAAAUUAUAAUGAUAAUAAUAAUUAAAAGUCCACACACACACAAUCACAUCGACAUACAUUAUAUCUGAUGGAAACCACACAUUGGUGUUAACGACACAGGUUGAUUGAGAAGUGUCUGCAUAGCAUUUCAAUUGAGAAGCACAAAUAACCCGAUCAUUAGUGGUUUACACACAUUUAUCCCUCCCUCUCGCCUAAGGCAGCGAUACUCAUUGUCUGUUGUCAGAAGCAUCGAUAAGGGACAGAAAAACGCACUGGAGCUAAGGGCAAGUCAAUCUGGUCUGCAUUCAUCCACUCAGCACUUUGGUGUUUAGAGCUUAGUGUAAUGGACCUGGUGUUAUUAAACCAAACCCGCCCAUUCAUCAUCACCCAGUUAUCUCUGUUAACCCAUCUGCCUGUGUCUGAGAUGGAGGAACCGUUACCUCGUCAGACUCCACCCACUGCCUUCUCUACCAACCACAGACCAGAGAGAUGGAUGUACAUUUGUACAGGCUGGUUACUGUCUGUUUGUUUGUUGUGUGUGUGUGUGUGUGUGUGUGUGUACAUAUUAGACAGAUGGAGAGAAAUAUGACUCUUAGAUGGGAGCUAAAUCCAUACGCGUAAAUACCAAGUUGUGUUUAGAGAUGACAAGGUGUUCAGAGAUGUUGGAAAAGAUAUGACCGUUGCUACUUAAAGUUCUAUCUAUCUGUUGCUAUGGGGAACUUCGGCUAGUGGGAGGGCUUUGUGGGAAAGAUGUUGGUCUGUUGUAAAGGUUUGAAUGGCAAGUCCACAGAGUACUAAUGGCGUUCUAAGUUGAAACUGUUAAAACCACCAUUUUGAUUCUCGACAAUUCAAGAUGUUAAAAAAAAAUCUCUUCCAAUCUUUUGGUGGGUGUUUAUCUCUACAUAUGACCAGUCCAGAUCUGUCUCUACAUAUGACCAGUCCAGAUCUGUCUCUACAUAUGACCAGUCCAGAUCUGUCUCUACAUAUGACCAGUCCAGAUCUGUCUCUACAUAUGACCAGUCCAGAUCUGUCUCUACAUAUGACCAGUCCAGAUCUGUCUCUACAUAUGACCAGUCCAGAUCUGUCUCUACAUAUGACCAGUCCAGAUCUGUCUCUACAUAUGACCAGUCCAGAUAGUUUAAUGGUGGGAGUCUGUCUCUACAUAUGACCAGUCCAGAUCUGUCUCUACAUAUGACCAGUCCAGAUCUGUCUCUUCAUAUGACCAGUCCAGAUCUGUCUCUACAUAUGACCAGUCCAGAUCUGUCUCUACAUAUGACCAGUCCAGAUCUGUCUCUACAUAUGACCAGUCCAGAUCUGUCUCUUCAUAUGACCAGUCCAGAUCUGUCUCUACAUAUGACCAGUCCAGAUCUGUCUCUUCAUAUGACCAGUCCAGAUCUGUCUCUACAUAUGACCAGUCCAGAUAGUUUAAUGGUGGGAGUCUGUCUCUACAUAUGACCAGUCCAGAUCUGUCUCUUCAUAUGACCAGUCCAGAUAGUUAAAUGGUGGGAGUCUGUCUCUACAUAUGACCAAAUCACCAUAUCUUUAAGAAAUUAUAGAUAAUUAAUAUUUUAUUUAUUUUAUUAUGAUCGUUGUCAUUGUACACAAAAAAAACCCGGUUAGCUUUUUAGUCAAAUGUUUUUUUAAAUGUUGAAAGUCAGGUAAAAAAACAAAGACUAUUUUGUUAACAGUAGAGCUAUAAAUGUCAGAAUGAGUUGGUAGUUGUCUGGUCUGUGUGUUUGACCACAGUCUACCUCAGGCGUUUUGGAGGAAUCACUACAGCAUCUCUCUCCGUAUAUCAGUCGUUAUCUCUGCAGCCCAAUCAGAGGACUGUGACACUGCCCACCCGUGACCACUGCUGUGACAGCAUCAUACCGUGACAAGAUUCCGAUCACAAUAUAGAAUCCCACGAGGUCCAACUCAAAUGGCAAGUUUUCACUCCCAUGUUGAGUCAUCUUUACAACCAAGUAGAUGAAUCCCCAGUGUAGUGUAAAGCACAACCUCAAAGGGUUUUUAAACAUUGCCACAAACUCUGAUUUAAGUAGUAAUGUUAGCUGUUAUUGGAAGGUGUAAAUCAGGCCAGAAUGUGGUGUUAUGGCUACAACCUAUUUGACUGGUGAUUAUCAUGCAUGAAAGUUUAGGUUCCUGGCUCCCUUUAUUUGCAUAGAAGCGCAGAAUCCCCAAGCAUCAGGUUUGGUUUGAUGUCCUUUUGAAAUGAACAGUUUCCUAGUUUAACAUACCCACUUAGCUAUCUGAUAGUUGCUCUACUUAUCUACAUACAUUGUUCUAGUGAAGACUUGAUUCAUUUGAGCUUUUUUUAUUUUUAUUUUAUUUUUAUUAUUCUGCAUCAAGACCGAGUCGUCCAAAUCAUGAAUGCAUAUCUCUUGAUCACAUACAUACAGCCAAAGUCUUCUAUAGCUCAGCUAUGUCUUGGUCAUGCUGUUCAUCAUGGACAGAAUAGAUGAUCUCCUCAGUGGUUGGUUUUUGGUGGGUGGGGGUGUAUCUCUCCUGAGUUCCUUGUCUGCUCGUCAGUAAAAUAUGGGACGGCAUUCAGACUUGAGGCUAUACAUUUUUUUUAUUUUUUUUAUUACAUUUUAUGUAUCUUCCAGAAGUGUUUUUUUUUUUUCUGUCCUCAGUUUGCAUUUAUGUUGUAUGUAUUAUUUUUCUACUGUGAAAAUAUGUUAUUAUAUCAACGCCACCGGUGCGGUCUGUGUGGACGCUUGCAUGCCUCCGCUGGUUAAAGGACUGUUCCCUGAGAGAGCUGGACAAUCCUGUGUGCCAUAAUAAACAGAAAACAUGUAUUCUAGAUUGUAACUUCUCAGGGAGGCAUGAGUUGUGCGGGUGUGUUUGAGGGUAGAAAGAAGCUACCUGUCUGACCUGUCUGACCUGAAGUUGAAGUUCUCUCGUCAUCCUAGCAAAUUAUCUUUUUGGGGGGGGGGCAGCAAGUUGUCAACAAACAAACAACUGACCUUUUGUGAAUCAAUAUUUUUUUCAGCUCUUCAAGAUUAUGGACAUGAUGAUUAAAUGAAUGCUUGUUAUCAUUGUGAUCUGUGGUGUUCACUGCCACCAGCUGGCUGGAUGUGAAAGUGUAGCAGCUGGACCGGCGCUCGUAGCCAGGGCUCUGUCCCAUAGUGCCUUGCUCAGACUGACCGCCCUCCUCCCUCCUGACUAUACAGCCAGCCAGACCCUCAGUGCCCUGGACUGGACUAGUCUGGUCUGGAAUGCUCUGGACUAGACUAGUCUGCUCUGGACUGCUCUGCUCUGGACUGGACUAGACUGCCCUGGGACGGGACGGGACGGGACUGGACUGGACUGGACUGGUCUAUACCUAGACUAGACUGCUCUGGACUUCUCUGCUCUGGACUGGACUAGACUGCCCUGGGACGGGACUGGACUGGUCUAGACUAGACUAGACUGCUCUGGACUGGACUAGACUGGACUGGGACUGGACUGGUCUAGACUGGACUAGACUGCCCUAGGACUGGACUGGUCUAUACUAGACUAGACUCUGGACUGGACUAGACUGCCCUGGGACUGGACUGGACUAGACUGCCCUAGGACUGGACUGGUCUAUACUAGACUAGACUGCUCUGGACUGGACUAGACUGUCUCCUCUCCUCGCUCAUCACCAAUAGUCAAGGAAUAAACCCCAACGAACCCCCACAGCAGGAGAAUACUGGAGUAUCAACACAUGAUGUAUUAUAAGACAGGAGAGAGAGGUCCUUCUGUAACCCAAGGCUCCAGUCAGGAGGUAACACGUCCAGCUUGGCUGGAUUGAUGAUUCAUCAUAUUAUACUGUGUUGGGAUAAUUAUGUAAACGAUAUUCAUGGUUUAACUAAAAAUGUUGAACUUUUCGUCUCUACCGGGGCGAAGCUCUGACUUGUUUUGUGCAUGAAUCCAAACCCCAAGCUGAUAGUUUGUUAAUUUGAUGCUAAUAGAAUUGUGUAUCUCGGCCAACUCGCUUUGUUGAUUAAAACACAACACCCAAAGCACAUGGGAUCAUCUAUAAUUAGCAACAAUUGAAUGCACGGCAUGGGAGAAUAGAACUCCCAUUUUUAAAAUGCAUACUAUUGAUUAUGUAUUAAAACUAAUCAAAACUUUAACUGUAAAUAGCGGCAGAGAUCCCUGAAAAAAUAUAAGCACUUGAUUUAGGAAAAUGUAGUUUUAGUUUAAACUCUGAUAACCUAAACAUGCGGUUUGCCAGAGCUGGUGAUCCAACAGCAGAUUAACCAUCAUUCUGUGUAUUGUUUCAAAAAUAAAAAAAAGUAUUACAUUUAGAGAUGUUGAUUAAAUAUUUUAAAUUUUGUGCCAAAAUAGAGGGCAAAUACAAUUACUUUUCUGACUGUAAACAUUUACUACUCUUGUACAUGAUUGAAUUUUAACAUUGUUAUCAAUGUAUAUAACUUUUUCUAAAUAAAAAAAUCAACAUUUUUUUGCUCAUGACACUACCCCGCUGCGCAAAUGGAAGGUCCGUACAUGUAUAAUGGAGCAGCAUAACUCUGACUAGAUGGGCUACGUGUGUAUCUUGACAUAUGCAGUUGGAAAUGUUCAUUUGAAUAUGCUCUUUCCCAUUCUAAAUACAUGUUGCCAUGGUCCCCCCCCCCCCAGAAUCACAAUAACAUGUCAUCUGUUUUAUCUUCUUCUUUUAAAUGUAUUAUUUUUAUUAUUAUAUCUCAAAAUAUCGCCCAUUGUAAUGUUAUGGAAUGAAAUGUCCUUGUUUCAGACCAACAGCUUACAGAAAAGGCAAAUAGCUUUUUCGAUGUGAAAAACUGGAAACGACCACUAGAGGAAAUCCUGGUAAAUAAAUGUAGAAAUGUAUCAGAAUCAAAGGUUCUAUCCUAAUCUAAUGUGGGGCGCAGGUAGCCUAGUGGUUAGAGCGUUGGGCAGGUAGCCUAGUGGUUAGAGCGAUGGGCAGGUAGCCUAGUGGUUAGAGCGAUGGGCAGGUAGCCUAGUGGUUAGAGCGAUGGGCAGGUAGCCUAGUGGUUAGAGCGAUGGGCAGGUAGCCUAGUGGUUAGAGCGAUGGGCAGGUAGCCUAGUGGUUAGAGCGAUGGGCAGGUAGCCUAGUGGUUAGAGCGAUGGGCAGGUAGCCUAGUGGUUAGAGCGAUGGGCAGGUAGCCUAGUGGUUAGAGCGAUGGGCAGGUAGCCUAGUGGUUAGAGCGUUGGGCAGGUAGCCUAGUGGUUAGAGCGUUUGGCAGGUAGCCUAGUGGUUAGAGCGUUGGGCAGGUAGCCUAGUGGUUAGAGCGUUGGGCCAGUAACCAAAAGGUUGCUGGAUUGAAUCCCCGAGCUGACAAGGUAAAAAAUCUGUCUUUCUGCUCCUGAACAAGGCAGUUAACACACUGUUCCACGGUAGGCCGUCAUUGUAAAUAAGAAUUUGUUCUUAACUGACUUGCCUAGUUAAAUAAAAUAAGUUCCAUUUAAA